rnacentral:rRNA from 1 species
UACGUAGGGAGCAAGCGUUGUCCGGAAUCAUUGGGCGUAAAGCGCGCGUAGGCGGCCCCGUAAGUCCGCUGUGAAAGUCAAAGGCUCAACCUUUGAAAGCCGGUGGAUACUGUGGGGCUAGAGUCCGGAAGAGGCGAGUGGAAUUCCUGGUGUAGCGGUGGAAUGCGCAGAUAUCAGGAGGAACACCAAUAGCGAAGGCAGCUCGCUGGGACGGUACUGACGCUAAGGCGCGAAAGCUAGGGGAGCAAACAGG